GAUGAACGCUGGCGGCGUGCUUAACACAUGCAAGUCGAACGAAGCACCUUGAUUUGAUUCUUCGGAUGAAGAUCUUGGUGACUGAGUGGCGGACGGGGGAGUAACGCGUGGGUAACCUGCCUCAUACAGGGGGAUAACAGUUAGAAAUGACUGCUAAUACCGCCUAAGACCACAGUACCGCAUGGUACAGGGGUAAAAACUCCGGUGGGAUGAGAUGGACCCGCGUCUGAUUAGGUAGUUGGUGGGGUAACGGCCUAACAAGCCGACGAUCAGUAGCCGACCUGAGAGGGUGACCGGCCACAUUGGGACUGAGACACGGCCCAAACUCCUACGGGAGGCAGCAGUGGGGAAUAUUGCACAAUGGGGGAAACCCUGAUGCAGCGACGCCGCGUGAGCGAUGAAGUAUUUCGGUAUGUAAAGCUCUAUCAGCAGGGAAGAAAAUGACGGUACCUGACUAAGAAGCACCGGCUAAAUACGUGCCAGCCGCCGCAGUAA
rnacentral:rRNA from 1 species